GGUGAACGCUGGCGGCGUGCCUAAUACAUGCAAGUCGAACGCACAGCGAAAGGUGCUUGCACCUUUCAAGUGAGUGGCGAACGGGUGAGUAACACGUGGACAACCUGCCUCAAGGCUGGGGAUAACAUUUGGAAACAGAUGCUAAUACCGAAUAAAACUCAGUGUCGCAUGACACAAAGUUAAAAGGCGCUUUGGCGUCACCUAGAGAUGGAUCCGCGGUGCAUUAGUUAGUUGGUGGGGUAAAGGCCUACCAAGACAAUGAUGCAUAGCCGAGUUGAGAGACUGAUCGGCCACAUUGGGACGGAGACACAGCCCAAACUCCUACGGGAGGCUGCAGUAGGGAAUCUUCCACAAUGGGCGAAAGCCUGAUGGAGCAACGCCGCGUGUGUGAUGAAGGCUUUCGGGUCGUAAAGCACUGUUGUAUGGGAAGAACAGCUAGAAUAGGGAAUGAUUUUAGUUUGACGGUACCAUACCAGAAAGGGACGGCUAAAUACGUGCCAGCCGCCGCCAUAA
rnacentral:rRNA from 1 species